GAUUUCAGUGUUGUGAAGUAUCAGACAAACAAACGCGGCUUCUGUAAGGACACUAGUAAACUAUGAACAGACACCUCGCUGGAAAACAGACAAUUAAAUCAUGUUUGAAAUUUCAAUAUUUACGUUGCACUUGAGACUAAUUACUAAUGAUAGAAAACAGCGUACUGUUAAUGAAAAGUAACGACCUUUAGUUUUUAUGUGCUAGCUGAUGCUUCGGCUAACGGGCUCAGCCUGCAGCGAUGACAAGGGGACUUCUGUCAACAAACAAACAAACAAACAAACAAACAAACAAACAAAGAGGAUGAAGACUUCUGUCAACAAACAAACAAACAAAGAGGAUGAAGACUUCUGUCAACAAAAACAAAGAGGAUGAAGACUUCUGUCAACAAACAAAGUGGAAGAAGAUUUCUGUCAACAAACAAAGAGGAUGAAGACUUCUGUCAACAAACAGAUGAAGUGGAAGAAGACUUUUGUCAACAAAGAAAGAGGAUAAUGACUUCUGUCAACAAACAGAUAAAGUGGAAGAAGACUUUUGUCAACAAAGAAAGAGGAUAAAGACUUCUGUCAACAAAGAAAGAAAGUGAAAGAAGACUUUUGUCAACAAAGAAAGACGAUAAAGACUUCUGUCAACAAAGAAAGAAAGUGGAAGAAGACUUUUGUCAACAAAGAAAGAAAGUGGAAGAAGACUUUUGUCAACAAAGAAAGAGGAUAAAGACUUCUGUCAACAAAGAAAGAAAGUGGAAGAAGACUUUUGUCAACAAAGAAAGACGAUAAAGACUUCUGUCAACAAAGAAAGAAAGUGGAAGAAGACUUUUGUCAACAAAGAAAGAGGACAAAGACUUCUGUCAACAAAGAAAGAAAGUGGAAGAAGACUUUUGUCAACAAAGAAAGAGGAUAAAGACUUCUGUCAACAAAGAGGAAGAAGACUUCUGUCAACAAAAAUGCCUGUCAGUUGCAGUUGGACAUCUCCUUGAGUGAACUUCGGCCACACAUGGGUUAGACGGCCAAGGCAACCAGUUUUAUUCCCAGUUUGCAACCUUCCCUUCUUCCACUCUGUACUGGUGGAUCACAGCGAUUGCUCCAAUUGCUGACGGUGGAACUGAGCACUUCUCAGGACAUCUACUUUUAUUUGCUACCAACUACUUUUAUAUCAGGACAAACAACACAUGGUGACUGGCACCGAAGUUGACAAGAGACACACAACACCUCUGAAAAAGAUCCUUCCACCAAGAUAUGGAAAUCUUUGGAAGCUCAAUAGAAAAGAGGAAGCAGCACAGCGUUGUUGGGAACAGUUGGGAGCAAUCAGUCCUGCAGACUCUCGUUGAUCUGGAGUGGAAACAGAAGCUCACAUGGAGCUUGAUGUCUGACACCAUCCAUCUAACUCUACUGAAUGGGCAAACUGAGAAACUGUGCACACAAAUACCAUCUGUACUUCAGUAAAACUAACUUCUAUUUAAA